CCUACGGGAGGCUGCAGUGGGGAAUUUUGGACAAUGGGCGCAAGCCUGAUCCAGCCAUGCCGCGUGAGUGAAGAAGGCCUUCGGGUUGUAAAGCUCUUUCGGUGGGGAAGAAAUCGCAUCUCCUAAUAUGGGGUGUGGAUGACGGUACCCGCAUAAGAAGCACCGGCUAACUACGUGCCAGCAGCCGCGGUAAUACGUAGGGUGCGAGCGUUAAUCGGAAUUACUGGGCGUAAAGCGUGCGCAGGCGGUUGUAUAAGUCAGAUGUGAAAUCCCCGGGCUCAACCUGGGAACUGCAUUUGAGACUGUACGGCUAGAGUGUGGCAGAGGGGGGUAGAAUUCCACGUGUAGCAGUGAAAUGCGUAGAGAUGUGGAGGAAUACCGAUGGCGAAGGCAGCCCCCUGGGCCAAUACUGACGCUCAUGCACGAAAGCGUGGGGAGCAAACAGGAUUAGAUACCCUUGUAGUCCAC
rnacentral:rRNA from 1 species